rnacentral:rRNA from 1 species
AGGACGAACGCUGGCGGCGUGCCUAACACAUGCAAGUCGAACGAGGUCCAACCGGUGGCAACACUGGUGAAGACCGAGUGGCGAACGGGUGAGUAACACGUGAGCAACCUGCCUCGAAGACUGGGAUAACCCCGGGAAACCGGAGCUAAUACCGGAUACCCCCACCGGGUCGCAUGGCCUGGUGAGGAAAUGGAUUCCGCUUUGAGAGGGGCUCGCGGCCUAUCAGCUUGAUGGUGGGGUAAUGGCCUACCAUGGCACCGACGGGUAGCUGGUCUGAGAGGACGAUCAGCCACACUGGGACUGAGACACGGCCCAGACUCCUACGGGAGGCAGCAGUGGGGAAUCUUGCGCAAUGGGCGAAAGCCUGACGCAGCAACGCCGCGUGUGGGACGAAGGCCUUCUGGGUUCGUAAACCCCUUUCACCAGGAGCGAAUUCAGACGGUACCUGGGGAAGAAGCGCCGGCUAACGUACGUGCCAGCAGCCGC